rnacentral:lncRNA from 1 species
UUCCAGUUUCCUAUAAAAUGAAGGGGUUGGCCUAAAUGACAGAGGUCUCCUGCUAGCUCCAUCUAUCUACCCACUCAUCCAUCCCCAGCAGGUUAGUACAUCCCUCAGCUUCUCAGACAGGAGAGGUGAUUGGGUUCAUCCCUUUCUGAAGAAUCUCCAAAGCACAGCCAAAGCUGGGAAGGAAGACCCAUAUGAAUACAGGCGGAUGCCCUAUUUCUUCUGAGGAAAACCAUGAAGAACAGCUCCAACAGAGGAGCCUGGACUACAACCCUGGGCAGGCAGCUCCACCCACCCGUCCACAGGCAAACAAUACACACCAUACAGCCAGACAAUGUUAGAGAAGGAAGAAAGGUUAACUCCUCCCACUCACUCAUUUCACAGAUGGGAACACGGAUGUUCCCAGAGACUUGGUAAAACUUGCCUGGUCCAUGACUUUGGGAAUACAGACAUCCUCUGAGUGCGAUGCUUUGUAUACGUGGCCUGGAGUUUGCUUCCUGAUGAUGUGCUCCUUCCUGCCCAGGUAGCCUCGGUUGGGCUCCACUAUCCCUGCUCCAGUACCCACUCCCAGCACUUAAGAAUGUCUCCUGUCUGGCUCCAGCAUGAAGGUAACAGAGAAGGAAGAUCUGGAUUUCCGGCAGAUUAAGUGGAGGAGAGAAGAGAGGGACCGAGGAAGAAAAAAAAGGCCGUGGACAAAUGAAAACUGUCUUGUGAACAUAAAGUGAUUGACAUAGAUCACAUCACCUGGAUUAUGAUGAUUUAAAAGGCAGUUCACACACAGAAAUCCCAGAAAGGUUUAGAGCAAAAUAAUGACUUUCAGAGAAGACUGUGAAUUUGGAUCUCUACAUUCCAGUACACUUAUGGGGGAAAAGAAAGUGCUUUUAACUUACAAGUAUUCUGAAUAGUCACUCUUUCGGAGUCUUUUUUUUUUUAAUUGGAAAGUAACAUUUUUCCAUUAGAGGAUUCAAUUCUACUACUGCUGCAAAAGAAUUAUUUCUGGAGUCAGAAUCAAAUCAACCUUUAUAAUCAGUCUAAUGAGUCAGACCCACUGAUAUAUAUUAGUGGACCUGGCUUCUGUUCUAGGUCAGGAACUGAGAGCUCCUGACACUUUGUAAUAGUGUAAUAGGGGAUAAAAUGUCAGAAAUUUCAGUGAAAAUGGAGGUUAAGUUGUGCAUUUUAAAAGCAAUUUUUAGGUAUAAGGUAGUAAGUAGCUAGUACUUAUGUGCCAGCAGUUCAGAAAGCAAAACCCAAUGGCCAAUUAUUCUUUGCUUUGUACAUUUGGGGACUAUAAGCAGACGGACACUAAGGAGCACACAUCCCUGGAUUUAUUUCUCAAAACAUAUCGCACAUUCCUAAUUUUCCUCACAGAUCUUUUUAAAGAUUACUCUCAGAAUGUGCCCAAAGAGUCCCUGAACAAAUGCUAUUCAUUUUGGUAAAUAUAACAAAAAUCAUUAGAAGAUAUCAGCAUUUUAAAUAGCGAUUAUAAUCCGGUGGUUGACUUCUGUAUUGCCCUGUUCGGUAUCUAUAUGUUUUGUAAAGGCUUACAUUGACUUGUUUACAGAUAUACCAUUUGCAUUUAGCUAAUUGUGACGUCUGUGGUCAUUUUCUAUAAAGAGGUUGGUCUUUAAGCUGUUGGUAAUGAAUGUGGCUUAGUUUCUACUGGAAAAUCUGAUUCAGCUUACAUCAUUUUGACUUAUAGCACCUUUGCCAGGAAUGAAAUCUAAGAGUGCAAGACUGCCUUGUUUUUCCCCAGGUCUGCAGAGGCCUGUUGCUUUUAAUGGGUUGUGUGUAGGACACAAGGAUGUGACUCAUCUAUCCACUUAAGAGUCAUAAAACAGUAAUGCAGACAGCUCAGCGUCAGUCAUAACGUUCAUUGUAUGCACCAUACUGAAUGGGCAUUACCAUUUAGUUUUUGUUAUUUUACAGGAAAGUGGGCAUUGGUACCCAGUGGACAAACAAAAUAUUUAUUAAGCUUAUUGUCAUCAAUGUCAUUAAUAUAACUGUUUUCAGUGAGCGUAGAACAAGUGUGUGGAGCUAUUUGUUGUCAACUGAACAUCCCUGCCACCCCUUCUAAUGUCUCCCUGCUCCAUGGAAGAGAAAUCAGGACUGUAGUUGUAAUUUGCAGAAUUCUCUUCUCUGUGAGGUUCAGGAGAGACCAUCCAGGAAGACGCACUUGUAUGAGGAAGGAGGAAGGCAAGGCCAGUAUUCUCCAGUGGCAGUUGUAGGCACACGCAUGGAGAGAUGUAAGGUUCAAAGCAGCUUUCAGAUGAACUUUUGGAGAAUUGCCUUUUGUGCUACGAGAGGGGAUAGAUGUCUAGAGCAUCUCUCGACUCACAAGUUUUGCAGUUUUCCAGGUGAGCUCCUGGGAAUCGUGUGCUUCAGUGCUCCAAGCAGAGUGUUAACAAUGGCCUCCUUGACCUUUGCUUCCCUAACAGUUGCAGAAGCUUCACUUUCUUGUCUAAAACUAUUAAUAUUUGGAAGACACAGAGUGGCUUCUAUUUUCCUGAUAAAAACGUGGCUGAUAUAAGAAGUAAUUAUUUAAAAAUUAAUAAAAAAUUAGAAAAGGUAGAAUGCAUAAAUCAUAGAUUAAAAUAAACUGCCAGUGGGCUAUGGUUACUAUAAAAAUAAGAUGGUCAAAGGCUGAUCAAAUGGAAGAAUGAAUAAAUAAAAGUCAUUCAAAUAAUCAAUCAAUU